rnacentral:rRNA from 1 species
GGAUUAGAUACCCUGGUAGUCCACGCUGUAAACGAUUAUUACUCGCUGUUGGCGAUACACUGUCAGCGGCUAAGCGAAAGUGAUAAGUAAUCCACCUGGGGAGUACGUUCGCAAGAAUGAAACUCAAAGGAAUUGACGGGGGCCCGCACAAGCGGUGGAGCAUGUGGUUUAAUUCGAUGAUACGCGAGGAACCUUACCAGGGCUUAAAUGUAGAACGACCGAUUUGGAAACAAGUCUUCUCUUUGAGCGGUCUACAAGGUGCUGCAUGGUCGUCGUCAGCUCGUGUUG